rnacentral:rRNA from 1 species
GACGAACCGAGCGAACGUUAUUCGGAAUCACUUGGGCUUAAAGGGCGCGUAGGCGGGCGAUCAAGUCAGGGGUGAAAGCCCCAGCUCAACUGGGGAAGUGCCUCUGAUACUGGUCGUCUCGAGCGAGGUAGGGGCGUGCGGAACUUCCGGUGGAGCGGUGAAAUGCGUAGAUAUACGGAAGGAACAUCGGUGGCGAAAGCGGCGCGCUGGACCUCUUCUGACGCUGAGGCGCGAAAGCCAGGGGAGCGAACGGG